UCUCCACAAAAAAAAAUCACGUACUGUUCCGUUCUAAGAUCCUCAAUUAUGCAACCUUCUUCAUGAGAUUCCAACUUCCAAACGAAGAUUUGCAACAAAGGCCAUUAAUCGAAUCAAUUUUGCAAUUUGAGUUCAUCGUCAGAUUCUUUUUUCCUUUUUUCCCUUCCAUGUCGAUUCAUCCAAUUUGUUCCAUAGAGCAUUCCUUCCUCUUUCUUCUACGACCUUUCUUGCUACGUCUUUAGAUUCUAUUUCGUAAUCAAAUUUGUGUUCUCCCAAUUUGGGCCAAUUAUUUUUAUUUUGGGAUCUAGGGCUGAGUACAGAGAGAUGGGCAAACCACAAUGCUUUCGAAUCCUCAUUCCUCCACGUUUAAUAGGAAGACAACUAACGAUUUACAAAGAGAAAGGGGAACAUCACAUGUCGAUUUUGUGUUUAAGAUGUUUGCUUGCUAGGAAAGCGAGGCUAGAAUAAAGCUCUAGAGGCCCUCAAAAAAUAGUUGUUUGUCAGGAAAGACCAACUAGAGCAUAGUUGUCUGUAGAUCUUGUCAGGCUGGGUCUUUAGGAGCAUUUGAACAAUAUUUAUUUGUUU
rnacentral:lncRNA from 1 species